UGUUUGCUGUCUAUUGAUAAGUGCUUAGGCAAAGCUGUGUUCGGCUCACAUCCAUUAAGUGGCGGCUAAUAGAAAGUCAACAAAAGAGCUCUGACAUGUGUAGUGGGCACUUCUGGCAGGCCAGGUUUGGGAGCACAGGUGUCUGAUGGGCUCCUGCCAAAGACCGCGGCAUACAAGACACCGGGAGUUUUUCUUCAAGAGCAAACCGAGCUGCCCACGUUUUAAGCCUGGCUCCUCUGCAACCAAAGAGACACUAUUAUGCUCAAAGCUAUAAAAUACCCUUCCUUUGUUACAGCUCCAGGAAGCUGCUGCUAGAGAUUAUUCGAACUACUAUAAACAACUCCAUUAAAGCUUCUGAGCUCACCAAUGACUCUUGUAAGGUCCUGGAUAAAAAGAUCAAUUUUUUUUUCCUUUUUUGAGAAAAGGAAAGAGAGAGAGAGAGUCUGGCAAAAAUAUUGCAAGCUUCUAAUAAUAAAAUGACCUACAAAACCUGAAGGAUAAAGCAUCCCUUAUUCACUCAGGAAUGCAAAUUCCUUUAACAACAGGCACCAUUGGAGAUCAUGAAGCCUGGAGAUGUUGAGGUUCAGAAUCAAACCACUGUAGCCUUCAUCUCUUCAUUUAGAAAAGGGGCUUUUGAGGAUCAUGUCAAGUUGGAGUUCCAAUGUGAAAGAAAAGGACAAAGGAUGGAUCCCAGUGGGCACAUUUAUGGACACAAGCAAUUUGGGGGGCACUUGGAUUUGUACUUUUGAUGCCUAUGUUCUGCAAGCACCUCCAUGUACAUCUUUGUACUGUGACGUGAAAAAGAGCAGUUUUGUAAAUGGGAAGCAACACUGCUGGCAUGAUACUUCACAGCAUCUGCUAAUCCAAAAGCAUUAAUGAAGUCAUUCAAAAUGCUCUCUCCCUUCCUAAUUCUCUCUUAAGCACACUUUGCAAGCUGCUUCAAGUUAUUGGUGUUAGAUGCCUUGGCAAAAACAUUAUUAUCCUGUGAGCACAUUGUGAAUAAAACACCCACAACCUGCAUCUCUGCACUGUUUGCAUUUUGUACUUGUAGAGUGUGCAUCCUGAUAGGACACCUCUCAGAACUCAAUGUAACUCUUGUUUGGCUCAUGCACAAAGGAUGGGCAUCUACAUCUCACUCCAUCAUGAAUUAA